GCGGCCGCCGUAGUUGAAUCUCCUCGGCGCCGGAAGCCCCGCCACCCCGCUUCCUGGUUCAUGUGCGGCCUUCGUUCCCUCGCUAUCUCGACCUUGACUUCGCAUGUGCAUCCGCCGAAGUCUUUCUAGAUCAAUUGGCCCCAUCUCUCGUCUUCCCGAUUCGGCCAUGACCUCACCCGUAUCCUCGACGUAGGACCUCGGACUUCAUUUCCGCCACCCCGACACUUCCGGAAUCCCCGGAAGCGACCCGUUGCCAUGGCGACUGUGUACACAGCCAGGCAGCCCCGCGUGGGGAGUGCAGGUGGUUUCGGUUGCGGCAGUCGCGUCCCAGGAGCGUCGCUGCCUGGUGAACGCUAGAAUGGGUACUAGGAAAAAAGUUCAUGCAUUUGUCCGUGUCAGACCCACCGAUGACUUUGCUCAUGAAAUGAUCAGAUACGGAGAUGACAAAAGAAGCAUUGAUAUUCACUUAAAAAAAGACAUUCGGAGAGGAGUUGUCAAUAACCAACAGACAGACUGGUCGUUUAAGUUGGAUGGAGUUCUUCACGAUGCCUCCCAGGACUUGGUUUAUGAGACAGUUGCAAAGGAUGUGGUUUCUCAGGCCCUCGAUGGCUAUAAUGGCACCAUCAUGUGUUAUGGGCAGACGGGAGCUGGCAAGACAUACACCAUGAUGGGGGCAACUGAGAAUUACAAGCACCGGGGGAUCCUCCCUCGUGCCGUGCAGCAGGUUUUUAGGAUGAUCGAAGAACGCCCCACACAUGCCAUCACUGUGCGUGUUUCCUACUUGGAAAUCUAUAAUGAGAGCCUGUUUGAUCUCCUGUCCACUCUGCCCUAUGUUGGACCCUCAGUCACACCAAUGACCAUCGUGGAAAACCCCCAAGGAGUCUUCAUUAAGGGCUUGUCAGUUCACCUCACAAGUCAGGAGGAGGAUGCAUUCAGCCUCCUUUUUGAGGGUGAGACCAACAGGAUUAUAGCCUCCCACACUAUGAACAAAAACUCUUCCAGAUCACACUGCAUUUUCACCAUCUACAUAGAGGCCCAUUCCCGGACCUUAUCAGAGGAAAAGUACAUCACUUCCAAAAUUAACUUGGUGGAUCUGGCAGGCUCAGAGAGGCUGGGGAAGUCUGGGUCUAAGGGCCAAGUCCUGAAGGAAGCCACCUACAUCAACAAAUCACUCUCAUUCCUGGAGCAGGCCAUCAUUGCCCUUGGGGACCAGAAGCGGGACCACAUCCCCUUUCGGCAGUGCAAGCUCACCCACGCUCUGAAGGACUCGUUAGGGGGAAACUGCAAUAUGGUCCUCGUGACAAACAUCUAUGGAGAAGCUGCCCAGUUAGAAGAAACGCUAUCUUCACUGAGAUUUGCCAGCAGGAUGAAGCUAGUCACCACUGAGCCUGCCAUCAAUGAAAAGUAUGAUGCUGAGAGAAUGGUCAAGAACCUGGAGAAGGAACUAGCACUGCUCAAGCAGGAGCUGGCUAUCCAUGACAGCCUGACCAACCGCACCUUUGUGACCUAUGACCCCAUGGAUGAAAUCCAGAUUGCUGAGAUCAACUCCCAGGUGCGGAGGUACCUGGAGGGGACACUGGACGAGAUCGACAUAAUCAGCCUUAGACAGAUCAAGGAGGUGUUCAACCAGUUCCGGGUGGUUCUGAGCCAACAGGAACAGGAAGUGGAGUCCACUUUGCGCAGGAAGUACACCCUCAUUGACAGGAAUGACUUUGCAGCCAUUUCUGCUAUCCAGAAGGCGGGGCUUGUGGAUGUUGAUGGCCACCUAGUGGGUGAGCCUGAAGGACAAAACUUUGGACUCGGAGUCGCCCCUUUCUCUACCAAACCUGGGAAGAAAGCCAAGUCCAAGAAGACAUUCAAAGAGCCACUCAGCUCCUUGGCAAGAAAGGAAGGUGCCAGCAGCCCUGUGAAUGGGAAGGACUUGGAUUACGUUUCCACCUCCAAGACACAGCUGGUCCCAUCCUCCAAAGAUGGGGAUGUCAAAGACAUGCUUUCGCGGGACCGGGAAACUUCCAGCAUUGAGCCCCUUCCCUCAGACUCCCCGAAGGAGGAAUUACGCCCAAUUAGGCCCGACACCCCACCCUCCAAACCAGUGGCCUUUGAGGAGUUUAAGAAUGAGCAAGGUAGUGAGAUCAACCGAAUUUUCAAAGAAAACAAAUCCAUCUUGAAUGAACGGAGGAAAAGGGCCAGCGAGACCACACAGCACAUCAAUGCCAUCAAGCGGGAGAUUGAUGUGACCAAGGAGGCCCUGAAUUUCCAGAAGUCACUACGGGAGAAGCAAGACAGGAAACACCACAGGUUACUGGGCUUUCCCUCGCUAAAUCACAACCCUGUUCCAGGCCAGCUUCCAUGAGUGAUCUCCAGAUGUCACUUGGUUUAUUCCUGCAAGUCAGAUGCAUCAUCUCACUCACAGGGGGUGCAUUUUACUCAUUUAUUUCUCAGAGGAGCAGGGCGUGGUGGCACACACUUGUAAUCCUAGCAUCUUGGGAGGCUGAGGCAUGAAAAUCGCUUGAACCCAGGAGGCAGAGGUUGUAGUGAGGCAAGAUUGCGCCACUGCACUCCAGUCUGGGUGACAGAUGAAGACUGUCUUGGAAAAAAAAAAUAAUAAUAAUUAAACAAUUAUUAUUUCUCAGAGGGC
rnacentral:sRNA from 1 species